UUGCAUUUAUGAAGUUGUACUUAUUUCUGUAUGGUCUGCAGAAAAGGGCACCAGCUUUGUUGGACAACCUCGUACAGGCCUUCAUAAUGGCUCCAUUCUUUGUGCUGUUGGAGGCUCUGCAGAACUUGUUCCAUUACGAGCCAUACCCUGGUUUCCAUGCUACAGUACAAGCAAAGAUUGAAGCUGAGAUCAGUGAAUGGAAAGAGGAGAAGCAGAAAUUGAUUUCAUAAUCUGUCAUGGGUUUUGUUUUAGUGGCAUAUUAAUUUUACUCGCUCCUGAGAAUGGCAAAACACAAACUAUGAUUUCUGCUUUUUGGCUAUGAAGCUUCAAUGCAACUCUGAUAUAUGAUUUAAUUUU